UGUGCCAAUUCAGUCACAUCUGCCAUGUUGUCCCCUCAGGCUACUGCUAGUUCCCUGGAGAGUUGGGACAUUCUCAGAGUGCCUGUUCAGCCAUGUUGUGCCCUCAGGACAUUGUCUAUAUCCCCAUGAUAUCUGGAGUGCUCUGGUUACUCCUCCCCCCUCCCAUUCUCACGAGAGUUAUCAUCCUAUCCUGGAGUGCUAUGGUUACUUCUCCCCCUUCCCAUUCUCGCGAAAGCUACUCCUAUAAAAACCCUUCGUUUUCCACACCUCUCUCUCUUGCCGGCGCUCCACUCUGGUGUUCAGAUGCAGGAAAGGUUACUGCGUGAGAGGCUGACCUUCCUCAUGCAGCAUUUCAUCCCCUGCCAUUUCUCCCCCUAGUCACCUACUUUGGACUGAGACUUCUAUCGGACUUACUGGUAUACCCUUUGGACACUUUAGACAAUUUUACAGCAGCUUCCUUCCCUUCACGUUGCUGGUUUUUCAUAGACUGACCCUGAGUAGUUCAUAGACUUUACACACUGUUGUCCUGGGCAUUAGAUAAAAGGAAAGGGGGAGAUGCUGGGAAAUUGUGCCAAUGCAGUCACAUCUGCCAUGUUGUCCCCUCAGGCUACUGCUAGUUCCCUGGAGAGUUGGGACAUUCUCAGAGUGCCUGUUCAGCCAUGUUGUGCCCUCAGGACAUUGCCUAUAUCCCCGCUAUAUCUGGAGUGCUCUGGUUACUCCUCCCCCCUCCCAUUCUCACGAGAGUUAUCAUCCUAUCCUGGAGUGCUAUGGUUACUUCUCCCCCUUCCCAUUCUCGCGAAAGCUACUCCUAUAAAAACCCUUCGUUUUCCGCACCUCUCUCUCUUGCCGGCGCUCCACUCUGGUGUUCAGACGCAGGAAAGGUUACUGCGUGAGGCGGCCAUUUUCUCUACCUCCACGUGGCCCAACCUGCUUCUCUAACACCCAACUCUGAGGUGCCAGCGCAAAUAAAGAUUUGUGUUUCCUCUUCGC